rnacentral:lncRNA from 1 species
AUGAUCUACGGAUCCUGACUUGAUCCUGGUUCUCUUCCAGCUAGAAACAGUCUCCGUUUCUCCAGCUGAUGCUCUCUGGGGGAAACAGCGCACGCUGAGUGCCACAAAACGGUGCCCGUACCUGUGCUCCUUCAGCAGGUCGAUUCCCUUCCAGACUGGCUUUUCCGCCCUCAUCAAGCGUCUUCCUGUUCUUUGGACUCCGUGUGUCCUGUGCAUGAGCUGGGGCCUGCCCAGGCCCUGGUGCAGCAUCCCUUCAUCCACACAUCCUGCCUGACCACACAUCCCACCAUGAGAGAUUAGCUGAAGCAGUGAGAAUGGAUUUUAUUUGGCAACGGCUGCCAGCUGGGGAAAGAGCUGAAGCCCUUGCAUGUGUGCGGAGGUGACUGCAGGGUAGCAGGGGCUUGAGCAGAGACAGGGCAGUGAAAACUUAUAGGAGGAGGGAAGGCGGGUCAGUCCAUGUGAACCCCAUCGGGGUUUGCUCCCCGGUACUCACCAAAGUCAGGCUGCUGCGCUCCCCCAGAGGCUGGGAGGCAGGCAGCGGUGGCAGGUGGCUGUCAUCAGGUGUUGGCUGGAACAAACAGUGAAUUCUCUUGGCAGCCUUGAGUUCUUCCCAGGCAGCACUUUAAGGGGACGGGAGUCAUCCCAGGAACGCAGCCUUGAGCUGUUAGAAAGUAUGUUAGUGCUUGUUCAAGUCCAAGGCCGAGGUUGAGGCGUUGGCGAGAAGGCUCAGAGUUUGUGCAGAAGACGUGCUGGUCACCAGCGCCCCCAGGCUGAGCGCCUCCCCUCACGUCGCAGCCCCCGUGUGGCUCUGACCAACCUGUGUCAACAGGAUACAGCAGCUCUCCACUUGACCCUGAGCUCCAGGGAGCCGGCACUGGAUCUUGGUCCCUGCUCAGUCCCCCGCCGCCUGGCCCACUGGACACGUUCAAUUAUUUGUGGUCAAAUGCACAAUCAUGGGUGCACAGGUGGUACACAGCUGAGAUGUAAACAUUAUGGUCAGACUCUCUGA